rnacentral:rRNA from 1 species
UUGACCUCGGAUCAGGUAGGAGUUACCCGCUGAACUUAAGCAUAUC